ensembl:lncRNA
GGUAUGUGAGCUAUUCAGACUGGUUUAUGAGGGACAACCUCCUGUGAGUAUCUGUGUGUAGGCAGGGAUUUCCAGCCAGGUCUUCACAGUCAUAGUUCAAUACUCUGUCCACCAUAACACACUGGCUCUCAUUUUACAUCCCGGGUGUAGCUCGAAGCUUUGGAGAGCAGUGAACAACAACUCUUUAAUAUUUAUUACCUGGUAUGUUGCAAUGUCACAUUGUACACUGGGCUUCAAGCUGAGAAAAUACAAGUGGCCCUGCUAGCUUUCUAUCCUUACACUUCUGGUUCAGUCUGGGAAGAGCAACAAGAGGGCACUGCAAUAUAUGUGUUGCACAUUUUAUUGUAGAUCAACAAGGAGUCCAACCAAGAUUUUCCUCUUAUAAAGCAGCCACCAGUUUGCAGCCAAAGUGAAUUUAUUUAAAUUAUCCAUAUCGUCUUCUAAACUCAGUCCAAAUCUUGCAUCUGGUUGCAGGGAAAUGCCUCAUGGCCUGGUGACAUGCAUGCAGAUGGUUGAUUUUUAUUUAAAAGUUGAAAAACUAAGAUAAAUAUAAUAAAUAAAAAUAAAAACAUCAGACAAUGAUCUGAGAUGAGUGGAUAAGAUCUUGUUCUUUCCAGUGCCAUUUCUGCAGUGUAUGCGACUGGGGGGAAGAUAGCAACUCAGCAUCCUUGCAAAAUUCCCAGCUCUCUCAUUCACCAAAGAAGAAAUAAGCAAACUGUAAAGAAAUGUAACAUGCAUAUUUUCGUCCCAUCGCUAUGCCCCCCGGUAGCGAAACCCCUUUCUUUUUAACGAAAGAAUGGCAAACUUCUCAGUUUUUUCAGCGACAGGAAGUGAUGGCGUUGGAAGGUCUUUCGACUUCUUAUAUUUAUGUUCCAUUCGCAGCUCUCUGAUUUGUUGCUCCGGUAACUGAAACAGCUUCCUCUUUGCACCGGAAGUGUCCUCAUGGCACGUCCUGUUGCUUUGUAUCACGUGACCACCCUGGAAGCCUUGUGUAAGAUGGCGGCGCCCGUGUCGGAACCAGUCGUAGAUGGGGAGGGGUCGAUAAAAUUGAGCCACAAGAAGUACAGAGCACUUUUGAAAAAAGAGAAACGAAAGAAAAAGAGACAAGCAUUGGCAAGACUGAGAGAUUCAGAGAAAGCAGAUGAACAUGAACAUAUUUAAGAAGAAAAUGCAGAUGAUGAUGAAGAAGAAAAACUUGAAGAGGAAAGGCAAAGGCUUCAUGAAGAGUGGUUACUGAGAGAAACAAAGGCUCAAGAAGCUUUCAAGAUCAGAAAAGAAAAAGAAGAGGCAGCAAAAAAGCGUCAAGAAGAAGAAGAGGUUUAACAUAUGUUUUGAUAUAUUUGUGGACAGAUUUUUAGAGUUGAUGUUUUAAACAUUAAAAAUCCCUGAUGUCUAUUAAACAGUGGUUCCCAACCUUGGGCCCUCCGAUAUUCUUGGACCAGAACUCCCAGUAGCCUUCACUACUCGCUGUGCUGGCCAGGAUUUUGGAGAGUUGUCGUCCAAGAACAUCUGGAGAUCCAAGGUUUGAAACCAUAGCUUUAAAAGAACGAGACAAUGAAGUUGAACUUUCACCUUUCGUUAGCUUUGGAAAGAUGACACUAAAGUAUAGCAGUUAGUAUUGUUGGCCUUCAUAAUAAACUAAAGAAGGAAUACUAACUUUAGCCA